UAAAUUAAAUAUAUUAUUAAAUAUAAAUAUAUUAUAUAUAUUAAUUUAAUUAUUAAUUAAUAUUAAUUAAUUUAA
rnacentral:tRNA from 1 species